CGGUGCAACGCACACAGACAGUGGAGAAGCAGCUGCGGGCGACGGUGGGGAACCGGUCCCGUUGAUAGGGCGACGGUGACGGUGCAGAACCGGACCCUUGGAUAAGGUAUACCAAAGAUUCACAGCCUCUUCUGCUGGAUACUCCGGUCCACUCCCUGCAGCCUGGUGACUCCGUUCUCGUGUGAACCUGGAAGGACGAGCCUCUCCAAGAGAAGUGGAAGGGACCCCACAUCGUCCUGCUUGUCACCCAUACAGCGGCAAAGGUCGAAGGACACAAGAACUGGAUUCAUCACUCUCAACUAAAAGCAGUACCCGCUCCUGAACAGUGGACUGUCCAGCCUGCAGAGAAGACUGCUAACGACGAUUUGGGACUUAAGCUGUUAUUCAAAAGACAGUAAGGGUCACUGGGAAUGCGUUGUGAUCUCUCUGAACAGUCACAGCAUACUCCCCGCGAGAACCCUGAGCAUUGGUUUUAUUUUCUCACAGAAGGCCGACCUGGCCUAUGUAUUUGGUCUUGUUAUUUUUUUGACUUGUUUAGUGUCAACAAUUCUUCUUAUCUUCUGGGCAUUUGGGUUGUUGUAAUUGUAUGUGCCCUUAUUGGAGAAGAGUGUUGUACCUAUGUCCCAGAGUUUUCACAGGACAUUAACAAGCACAUCUUGUCAGCUGAACGGGCCUUUAACCAGUGGAAGGCCCAGGAAAGAGAACCCACUAUUUUGGAUUCCCUUUGGGGUUGGAUACCUGGUUUAGGGGAACUAGGGGAUAUAGGGGGAAACAUUGUUCGCAUCUUGCUCACAGGUGUGGUGAUAUGUUUUGUUCUUGUUCUUUUGCUCAUUUGCUGUAAGGUGCUCAUACGUAAGAUUUGUACCUCCCAUACCCCAGAAGUUCCCUUAUACCCUCUCAUUGAUAAUCCUGAUUGCAUGGAGCUUAAUCGCAUUCUGUCUUUAGAGUAUGAGAAAACUCUGACAAAGGUUUGUUGAGUGUUCUCAAAGGAGGGAUUGUUGGGGUCCACUAGGCAUAGCUACCAGGUAACUCGGGAGAGUGGAAGGCCACAAGUGCCGAUGAAGCUCUUUUGCUCUGGGUCUGUGAACCACAGUGACUCCAUCUUGGGAACUCUCACCUACUUCUAUGCUAACAGCUUACAUGCUCUGAAGUAGGUUGAAGCAGAAAUGUAAUGUCAACUUUCUAGCAGAUGGCUGCAGUUUCACUCACACUAGCAGAAAUAAUAGAGAUAAGAAGCGGGGUAGUUAGUUUGCAGGCGUCUAACUCAAGGUCGCAAAGACUGAGAAAGUUUUCUCACAAGCUUCUGUAGAGCUUAUUGUAACAGUUGUCUGGAAGGGAGGGGUAAGGGGGAACAGCCAGACAAAGAGAUGUAUGUAAACAGUUUGAAGUAUAAAAGGUAAAAGUUGUUUGUAUUUGUUGCACUGGAUUUGAGACAUGCUGGUCUCCUAGUGCCAUUUCAGAGCUCUGAAAUAAACUUGGCUUGCUUUCUC